rnacentral:rRNA from 1 species
CGAGGCUCAACCUCGGGCCUGCAGUGGGUACGGGCAGACUAGAGUGCGGUAGGGGAGAUUGGAAUUCCUGGUGUAGCGGUGGAAUGCGCAGAUAUCAGGAGGAACACCGAUGGCGAAGGCAGAUCUCUGGGCCGUAACUGACGCUGAGGAGCGAAAGGGUGGGGAGCAAACAGGCUUAGAUACCCUGGUAGUCCACCCCGUAAACGUUGGGAACUAGUUGUGGGGUCCUUUCCACGGAUUCCGUGACGCAGCUAACGCAUUAAGUUCCCCGCCUGGGGAGUACGGCCGCAAGGCUAAAACUCAAAGGAAUUGACGGGGACCCGCACAAGCGGCGGAGCAUGCGGAUUAAUUCGAUGCAACGCGAAGAACCUUACCAAGGCUUGACAUACACGAGAACACCCUAGAAAUAGGGGACUCUUUGGACACUCGUGAACAGGUGGUGCAUGGUUGUCGUCAGCUCGUGUCGUGAGAUGUUGGGUUAAGUCCCGCAACGAGCGCAACCCUCGUUCUAUGUUGCCAGCACGUUAUGGUGGGAACUCAUGGGAUACUGCCGGGGUCAACUCGGAGGAAGGUGGGGAUGACGUCAAAUCAUCAUGCCCCUUAUGUCUUGGGCUUCACGCAUGCUACAAUGGCCGGUACAAAGGGCUGCAAUACCGUGAGGUGGAGCGAAUCCCAAAAAGCCGGUCCCAGUUCGGAUUGAGGUCUGCAACUCGACCUCAUGAAGUCGGAGUCGCUAGUAAUCGCAGAUCAGCAACGCUGCGGUGAAUACG